rnacentral:misc_RNA from 1 species
UGUAGGAGCGAGCCUGCUCGCGAUGGCGUCGGCACAUCCAACAUUAAUGUGACUGACAGGGCGCUAUCGCGAGCAGGCUCGCUCCUACG